rnacentral:rRNA from 1 species
GAUGAACGCUGGCGGCGUGCCUAAUACAUGCAAGUCGAGCGAACGGACGAGACGCUUGCUUCUCUGAUGUUAGCGGCGGACGGGUGAGUAACACGUGGAUAACCUACCUAUAAGACUGGGAUAACUUCGGGAAACCGGAGCUAACACCGGAUGAUAUUUUGAACCGCAUGGUUCAAAAGUGAAAGACGGUCUUGCUGUCACUUAUAGAUGGAUCCGCGCUGCAUUAGCUAGUUGGUAAGGUAACGGCUUACCAAGGCAACGAUGCAUAGCCGACCUGAGAGAGUGAUCGGCGACACUGGAACUGAGACACGGUCCAUAGUCCUACGGGACGCAGCAGUAGGGAAUCUUCCGCAAUGGGCGAAAGCCUGACGGAGCAACGCCGCGUGAGUGAUGAAGAUCUUCGGAGCGUAAAACUCUGUUAUGAGGGAAGAACAGAUGUGUAAGGAACUGUGCACAUCGUGACGGUACCUAAUCAGAAAGCCACGGCUAACUACGUG